UGUAUGCCUUGCACAGUUUCUCUUUUUCGUCUGGCUCAACUGAGUUCCUACAACGCAUUAGGGCGCAUGCUCAGCCAUAUGCUGCCAACCCCCACACGCUGAUAUGCCCACCGAGCAAGUGCCUGACAAACUUGAAGACCAUGGUCUCAACAAACCUUGGGGGAACUUUUACAAGGAUGACCCAGGGAAAGGUGAUGCUGCCUCUGUGUCCUUGGGACCAUAGAUUCAGAAUUUACUGGAAAUAGGCAUGGGCUUGUGCCAGAAGGGCCUGACAUCUUGAUGAAAAGAACGCCGAGAAGUUGUGAGAUUUUUUUUUUCCCACCAGAAAAAAAAAAAUCCUCCCGAGAGAAACAAACUGCGACCGUCCAUUCUGCCACACCACAACAUGGACACGUGAGGGAAAUUAGCGUUUAAUAUUAAUUUGUCUCUGCUUUUUUCCCUGCCUCCGAAUGACUCCAACUUUCAUUCCUGGCUUGGCAGGCAAGCCUGCCUCGUGCACGAAGCACACCCCACCCCCUACCACUGAGAUGUGGUGUCUUGCUUUGACCUUGAUCCAUAGGACCAACUCUGGCAGGGUUCAACGGUCCUGCUUAUGUUUAACUGAACUGCCACUUGA